AUGGACCAGUUCGAGGGAGAGAGCUGGCGGCCGGAGAACAGGGAGGGUAGUAUCUUCUUCCCGACGGAGAGCUGGAGGCGUGGUGAGCCAGAGUUGCGGCCUGAGGUCGGUCGCUAUGUGCUGAGGCGCACGGCUGGGAUGUACCGGCUAGAGGAGAAGCUAUGCGGUCGUGUGCUGGUGGGUACGGUGGAAGGGAACCGGCCUCCCGUGUCGCCGGCACAGGUGGUUGCUGCUUUGGAGGCGCAAUGCGGCGUCUGCCGCGACGACGUCAUGGUUGAGGUAUGUUCGCCUCCGGCAGAUUUUCUUAUACGGUUUCGGUCCGGCGAGGACUGCACUCGCGUGCUCAUCUACCACUCCCGCAAGCUUACCGUCGGCGGAGAGACAAUCCAGUUUAGUCGCUGGCAUCAUGGGAAGUGUGGCGAUGAGUCGUCUAUGAAGUUUUUGACAAGGUUGAGCUUUGAUGGGCUCCCGCAAGAGGCAUGGGAGGUCGAGUUCGUUACCAACCUUGUUAGCAGUCUCGACAGCGAUCUCGUUAAGACGUUGAAGCCCACUGAUCGGUGCUUCGUCGUUGUUGAAGCGUGGAUGAAGAACCCAAACAAAUAG
rnacentral:rRNA from 1 species